AUGAACGCUAGCGACAGGCUUAACACAUGCAAGUCGAGGGGCAGCGGGGGUAGCAAUACCCGCCGGCGACCGGCGCACGGGUGAGUAACGCGUAUGCAACUUACCUAUCAGAGGGGGAUAACCCGGCGAAAGUCGGACUAAUACCGCAUGAAGCAGGGGCCCCGCAUGGGGAUAUUUGCUAAAGAUUCAUCGCUGAUAGAUAGGCAUGCGUUCCAUUAGGCAGUUGGCGGGGUAACGGCCCACCAAACCGACGAUGGAUAGGGGUUCUGAGAGGAAGGUCCCCCACAUUGGUACUGAGACACGGACCAAACUCCUACGGGAGGCAGCAGUGAGGAAUAUUGGUCAAUGGCCGAGAGGCUGAACCAGCCAAGUCGCGUGAGGGAUGAAGGUUCUAUGGAUCGUAAACCUCUUUUAUAAGGGAAUAAAGUGCGGGACGUGUCCCGUUUUGUAUGUACCUUAUGAAUAAGGAUCGGCUAACUCCGUGCCAGCAGCCGCGGUAAUACGGAGGAUCCGAGCGUUAUCCGGAUUUAUUGGGUUUAAAGGGUGCGUAGGCGGCCUUUUAAGUCAGCGGUGAAAGUCUGUGGCUCAACCAUAGAAUUGCCGUUGAAACUGGGGGGCUUGAGUAUGUUUGAGGCAGGCGGAAUGCGUGGUGUAGCGGUGAAAUGCAUAGAUAUCACGCAGAACCCCGAUUGCGAAGGCAGCCUGCCAAGCCAUUACUGACGCUGAUGCACGAAAGCGUGGGGAUCAAACAGGAUUAGAUACCCUGGUAGUCCACGCAGUAAACGAUGAUCACUAGCUGUUUGCGAUACACUGUAAGCGGCACAGCGAAAGCGUUAAGUGAUCAACCUGGGGAGUACGCCGGCAACGGUGAAACUCAAAGGAAUUGACGGGGGCCCGCACAAGCGGAGGAACAUGUGGUUUAAUUCGAUGAUACGCGAGGAACCUUACCCGGGUUUGAACGCAUUCGGACCGAGGUGGAAACACCUUUUCUAGCAAUAGCCGUUUGCGAGGUGCUGCAUGGUUGUCGUCAGCUCGUGCCGUGAGGUGUCGGCUUAAGUGCCAUAACGAGCGCAACCCUUGCCACUAGUUACUAACAGGUAAAGCUGAGGACUCUGGUGGGACUGCCAGCGUAAGCUGCGAGGAAGGCGGGGAUGACGUCAAAUCAGCACGGCCCUUACAUCCGGGGCGACACACGUGUUACAAUGGCGUGGACAAAGGGAGGCCACCUGGCGACAGGGAGCGAAUCCCCAAACCACGUCUCAGUUCGGAUCGGAGUCUGCAACCCGACUCCGUGAAGCUGGAUUCGCUAGUAAUCGCGCAUCAGCCAUGGCGCGGUGAAUACGUUCCCGGGCCUUGUACACACCGCCCGUCAAGCCAUGGGAGCCGGGGGUACCUGAAGUCCGUAACCGAAAGGAUCGGCCUAGGGUAAAACUGGUGACUGGGGCU
rnacentral:rRNA from 1 species